GAUGAACGCUAGCGGCAGGCUUAAUACAUGCAAGUCGAGGGGCAGCGCAGUGUAGCAAUACAUGGGCGGCGACCGGCAAACGGGUGCGGAACACGUACGCAACCUACCCAAAACUGGGGA
rnacentral:rRNA from 1 species